AUGAUUAAAUGUUGUAUCGGCAUGGUUUUAUCUGUCUACUUUGCUUUUUAAAUUUGGUUGCCAGCUUCAACCUAAUUCUUGAUUUAGAACUAUGAUUUUGAACUAAAACAUUUCCGUGUUGAAUAAAAUACUAUUUAUUCUUAACUGUAUUUUUUUUGAGGCUUCAGUUAUCAAAUGUUGGUGGUAAUUCCCAACUUGAUAGUGGUUGCAUGCAGCCUUGUUGGGAGUGAAUGCAAAUAAAAAAAAUAAUAAAAAAUUUAGUUAUGCCACUGUGAAAGCGUCGAUUGUUAAGUAGACAUAAAAAGUUUGAAGUAUGCAUAAAGCCUGAAAGUGUCAAAUAUGGAACCUAAAAAAACCUGCCUUUGCCACUGACUGUAUAAAGGUUUUUCAAGGUCUGUUUGUCAAGCAUCAAGUCAGGUUAUCUUGCUACUGGUACCAUGUAGUACAUCCUGCUUAAGCAGGUUGUACGCCAUCUAUACGACGUUUGGGCAUCUGUUUGUAAAUAAUUGCUGCAAAUCUUUUUGAGAGAGCCAUUACUAUGGAGAACCAUCUAAACCAUACAAGUGUGGAAACAUGGAUGUAAAUCUUAAACACAUUUGUGAUAUAUAAUUGUAGAAUGUUAUAUGUUAUAAGUUUGGAAAUUAUAUUCUGCUAAAAAAAACUUUUUAAAUGUA